GGUGAACGCUGGCGGUAGGCCUAACACAUGCAAGUCGAACGGCAGCACAGUAAGAGCUUGCUCUUACGGGUGGCGAGUGGCGGACGGGUGAGGAAUACAUCGGAAUCUACUUUUUCGUGGGGGAUAACGUAGGGAAACUUACGCUAAUACCGCAUACGACCUACGGGUGAAAGCAGGGGAUCUUCGGACCUUGCGCGAUUGAAUGAGCCGAUGUCGGAUUAGCUAGUUGGCGGGGUAAGGGCCAACCAAGGCGACGAUCCGUAGCUGGUCUGAGAGGAUGAGCAGCCACACUGUAACUGAGACACGGUCCAGACUCCUACGGGAGGCAGCAGUGGAGAAUAUUGGACAAAGGGCGCAAGCCUGAUCCAGCCAUACCGCGUGGGUGAAGGAGGCCUUCGGGUUGUAAAGCCCUUUUGUUGGGAAAGAAAAGCAGCAGCUUAAUACCCCGCUGUUCUGACGGUACCCAAAGAAUAAGCACCGGCUAACCUCGUG
rnacentral:rRNA from 1 species